rnacentral:rRNA from 1 species
UACGUAGGGUGCAGGCGUUAAUCGGAAUUACUGGGCGUAAAGCGUGCGCAGGCGGUUUGUUAAGACAGGUGUGAAAUCCCCGGGCUCAACCCGGGAACUGCGUCCGAUACUGGAAGGCUUGAAUCCGGGAGAGGGAUGCGGAAUUCCAGGUGUAGCGGUGAAAAUGCGCAGAUAUCAGGAGGAACACCGGUGGCGAAGGCGGUUCUCUGGGCAUUACCUGACGCUGAGGAGCGAAAGUGUGGGGAGCGAACAGG